AGCGCACAGUGUCACGCGGCGUCACUGCGCUGACCCGUCCAGGCACAAUGAUGCCUUCACGUGCCCCUCCUUGCGUCCCCUCGCAGCGCGUGAGCACCGGCUGCAACUCGUUAAAACUUCCGUAAAUACCCAAUUGAGAUUAAAUUUCGAUUUUGAAAGGAAAGGGCAAUGCAUUUGCAAAAACACACCGAGUAUUGCCAACACUCCCUGAAGGCCACAUAAUCAUUGAGACCUUCUUAUGGACGCGCGGAUGGCCUCCCGAUUCAUGGAGGGAGAUCUCCACAAACGUCGGAGAGUGCUAAACCACUACGGAUGUAAUAUAUCUUUGGCCACCGGUGGCGCUGUUGUGCGGACCGAGCGUGUACCCGGAUGUAAAGCGUUUCUCCGGACAUUCUCCGUCAGUCUACCCGGGAAAGAGCACCGAAGCGACAGUCCACCUCUGUCGGACCUCGCGCUGUGAGGAAGUCACUAAACAAUGCUGACUCAAGCCUCUGUUGAGAAGAUUGCACUCGACAUCAUGGAAAAGCAGCAGGAACAACAACAACCACCGAGGCAAAAGAAGGGACACACGAAAAGGUGUCUUUCCUGUGGCCAGCCAAAGUCUAGGUAUGAAAAUGAUGGUUCUUCAAUCCACUUCUUCUACCAGCAGGGCCCGGUCCGAUACUUCUACUGCUCCGCUAAAGUUUUUAAAACUUAUGGUGCUGAAGGUCUGACAAACCCCAAAAUGCCUUUUGUAGACUUUACUGAGACAGUUCUCUCAGCUAGAACUGGAUGCCACACAGAAAAGGGUGGCAGAGAAAGGACCGCAGAAGAGGAAAAGAACUGAUUGCCAGUCCGCAGGUCGCAAGUGUCUGUUCUGUAAGAUGGAACUGAAGCAGGGCCCAAACAGUCGUCACAUUCACACUGGGUUCCCUGGAGUAACAGGGAAGUACAUUUUCUGCCCGGUUAAAAUCUUUUCACUAUACAAAGACCAUGGACAUGGAAAUGACGUGGAGAGAGUUCCAGGGGUCUGCUUUCUUUGAGAAAGAAAAACAGAGAUGGGAGGCUGAAAGGAGGAAUGAAGAGAAAUAAUAAGGGGAGUUCCAUCCAGAAUUUUAAGUCCAAUUAUUUGUAAUAUACAUGUUGUAAUUAGUUUAUAUAUUGUUUUCUUGCAUUUGUGACUUUGUACAUUAAAUAUUAUCUUUUUAUUUAUUCUUUAUAUUUGGUUUUAUGGUUUGAUAGUCAUUAGUUGAAUUAUUUGGAUGUCUUUAUUUCGGUAACAUUUUUGUUUGUAUAGGACUAUACACGUUAAUAAAUAUAUUUCAA
ensembl:lncRNA